rnacentral:tRNA from 1 species
GCGGCCCUGGCCCAACUGGCAGAGGCGUCGGGUCGAGGGCCCGAAGGUUCGGGGUUCGACUCCCCGGGGCCGCA